rnacentral:rRNA from 1 species
AUUGAACGCUGGCGGCAGGCCUAACACAUGCAAGUCGAGCGGAUGAAGGGAGCUUGCUCCUGGAUUCAGCGGCGGACGGGUGAGUAAUGCCUAGGAAUCUGCUUGGUAGUGGGGGAUAACGUCCGGAAACGGGCGCUAAUACCGCAUACGUCCUGAGGGAGAAAGUGGGGGAUCUUCGGACAUCACGCUAUCAGAUGAGCCUAGGUCGGAUUAGCUAGUUGGUGGGGUAAAGGCCUACCAAGGCGACGAUCGGUAACUGGUCUGAGAGGAUGAUCAGUCACACUGGAACUGAGACACGGUCCAGACUCCUACGGGAGGCAGCAGUGGGGAAUAUUGGACAGUGGGCGAAAGCCUGAUCCAGCCAUGCCGCGUGUGUGAAGAAGGUCUUCGGAUUGUAAAGCACUUUAAGUUGGGAGGAAGGGCAGUAAGUUAAUACCUUGCUGUUUUGACGUUACCAACAGAAUAAGCACCGGCUAACUUCGUG